rnacentral:lncRNA from 1 species
GACGUUUCUCUUCCCUCCCUCUCACCCCACACGCGGCGGCGGGAAGGUAUUCCAAUUGUAUACAUGUGUUUGACUUGGACCGCUUAGUUUGGUUGAUUAAAAGCCAUAACACUUGACCAUGAAGUCUUGGUUUCGAGUCUCAUAUUUCCCUUUCGUGUCCCUUAGACUUUAAAUACUAAGAGAAGCAAGAUGGAAAAAAAAUAUAUAUGAAAUAUAAUAUGAUAAGGGCGGGCUUUCUUUUUCAUUCAUAAACAAUAACGUGUGUUAAAUUGUAGGGAAGGCCUAAUCAGCGAGGAUUACUAUAAAAUUAGUCGAAUUUCCACAACAUGAGCU